UACAGAGGGUGCGAGCGUUAAUCGGAAUUACUGGGCGUAAAGCGCGCGUAGGCGGCUUUGCAAGUCGGGUGUGAAAUCCCCAGGCUUAACCUGGGAACUGCAUUCGAGACUGCAUUGCUAGAGUAUGGGAGAGGGAAGUGGAAUUUCCGGUGUAGCGGUGAAAUGCGUAGAUAUCGGAAGGAACAUCAGUGGCGAAAGCGGCUUCCUGGACCGAUUACUGACGCUGAGGCGCGAAAGCUAGGGGAGCAAACGGG
rnacentral:rRNA from 1 species